UGCCCAAUCCACACCAGAAUUGUCUCUUUUCCCAGAACAGCCAAAACAUUACUUCUUGCCCCCUCUCUCUCUCUCUCUCUCUCCCUCCCUCUGCAACCUAUUCCUCCUGUCUGUCCACAAACUGUUUGUUGUUUUGCCCAAAGAAAGAAAAAACAGAGAGUUUGGGGAAGCUUGUUGGUGGAGGAGGAGGAGGAGGAAAGGAAUUUUCCGGUCUGGGAGUAGUGAGGGGGCUCCCAGGCUUUCAAAACCACUCAUCUUCCUCAUAUUGUUCUUCUCUCCUUCACCAUCCUUGGUUUUCCCCAUCAUUGGAUGGAUUAGAUUGUUGGGUUCUCCAUAUUGAGCUUGAAGCUCAACUACCCAGAUCUGCUCCAGCUUCUGAAAGUUUGGGAGAUCUUUGGCUAUUUGGGCCUCUGUAUCUAGACUUGCUUUCAUUUGAUUGCAUUGAAACAUUCAUUUGUUUCAUCAGCAGCUCAUAUUAUAGCUGAAAGAAGCCAAUCGUUUUCUUUUUUUUCCAUUUACCCCAUUGAGCAUCAACUGCACCUUUGAAUGCGAGCAGUUUGGGUGUAUGUAGCAUUGGUUGCUUUUCUUGAAACCGUUUACAUAGAGGAAGAACAAGAAGCACUUGCUACCAGCAUCUUGUGAUUCUGGAUUGGCUAAGCCAACUACCCACAAAAAAGUUUUGUCGCUUGAGGUGUCAACAGAUAGAGAAGAAGCUCUCCGUUUAUUUUAGUCAAGACUUUCAACGACGAGGCCCACUGGUGGGUUCGGUGGGCUUCAUCAGACAAACAAGAACCCACAAUUUUGAAGAUCCCUCUUGGCCAUUCUUUCAUGAAAUUAUAGUGCGUUGAAGAACGAGAAGAUAAUUCUGUUUCCACUUGCAAAGUACCGUUCCUUUCCCUCUAUUGGGUCCUCUACUCACCUUCCUUUAUCACGUAUUAUACCGAAAUUGAUUUUGACUCAUUUGGAAUUUCAUCUUUUCUGAUGCUACUUUACUUCUUGUUCACUUGCCUCUCCUUCAUCCUCUUUUUGAAGUCUCUCCCUCUCAAAUCUCUCCCUGCAUGGGCAAGUGAGAUGUCAUUGUUGUCACUCUGGAGCUAUCAGGAGUUCUCUUCUUUCCGCACUUCUAGUUUGAUGAAUAGCUUUUGUAAAAGCUGUAUUCCUCAUACACGCUCUAAGAUGUCCUUCAAGAAGAUUAAUCUUUCUUCCAGAGUAGAUAAUGUAGCGACCGGAGAGAUGUUGGUAUUAGAUUUGCCCGAAUUGGUCUUAGAAUGCAUCCUGGAGAGGCUUCCACCAGCUGAACUUUUUAACAUGGCUGGUGUGUGUAGUUCUUUGAGGAAUAGGUGUGUAAGUGAUCACCUUUGGGAAAGGCACAUGAAGCAAAAAUGGGGCAGAGUCAUUGGCCCAGCUGCAUAUCGGGAGUGGAAGUGGUAUAUCGCUAGUAGGAGGGAGAUUUGCAAUCUCAAACAAGGCAAACAAAGGGGGCUUUGGAGGCUCCUGUUUACUGUUUGGCCUUUAUCAUGGACUAAAUCAAAACUUGAUAACAGUGAAAAGCAGAGGAUUCCCCUUCCAACCGAUUCAAUCAUGUCUUGGUAUCUUGCUCUUGAGACUGGCAAGUUCUGCUUCCCUGCUCAGGUUUACAACCGUGAGAAUGGUCAUGUGGGAUUUAUGUUGUCUUGCUACGAUGCUGAGCUUAGUUAUGACGCUCAAACCGACACCUUCCAAGCCAGGUACCCACCUCAUGGAAGGAGAGCGGGUGCAAUAGAAAGUAAUGUCACAUGGGAGAGACUAAGGGCACAACCUGUUGAUACUCCUCCACAUGAUCUUCAUAUUUCUGACUGUCUGAAUGACCUACAUCCUGGUGACCACAUUGAAAUUCAGUGGAGGAGAAACAAAGAAUUUCCUUAUGGUUGGUGGUAUGGUGUUGUUGGUCACUUGGAUUCAUGUGAUGGCAAUGUGAACUACUGCCGGUGUCACAACAGUGACACGGUGAUGCUGGAGUUCAGACAGUAUGCCCCAGGUUCGCGGUGGAGACAUACGGCCAUAAAUAGGAGAAACCAUAGGGAGGAGGGCAAUGAAGCAGACGGUUUUUACGGAGGAAUCAGAAAGCUUAAAAGCGAGAGAGAGAUUUCAAUGUGGAAGAGUCUGUGGCCAACGGAAGUACUGGAGUAGGUUCGGAUGAAGUCUACUGGUGCAGCUAAUUAAUCUGAAGACUCCCCGAUUCGAAAGCACCCAUUUGGAAAAGGGCGGAUUGGCGGAGUCCAGUGGCUCGACCGGCGGUUUUACAGGUGCUCGAGAUGUUUCUUGCUCAUUUUGCUGAUUUUUCCUCCCCUUCAAGUCAGUGGACCUCCGCGGACUCUCAGCUUUGAAGCCCUGCAAAUUGUAUAGGAGAUCAUGAAAAUGAACUAACCCUGAAUGGUGAGAGCGACUGAGUCUGCCCAUGAUCGUUAGCCUGCCUCGUCCUUCUUGCGCUGCUGUCUUCCUUGACAUUCUCCAAUGCCACCAUGAACGGGUCGAAAUCAUCAUUCCACAGGCUCUUGAACUGGAAGGGGACCUUAAAGCCUGAUCUCGGGGACCUCGACGAAGGUGACCCAAUAGGACUCUGAUUUCCGCUCUUGCCCCCAUAAUAGGAACAAGGUGGAGGCUUCAAAGGCAUCAAUUUCCCAUCACAGAAGAGCUCAUCAGCAAAAGCCAUUGAAGGGAGUGAGUCACCCCCCAUUGGCCUUGCUUUCUUAUGGAGUGGGGACUCGAGGUCCUGGCUCGCGAUAAACUCGCCCGCAUCGAAAACAUGCCCCCAACUCGCAUUGAACUCGAAGUCCAGAUCAGAAUCAGAGCUUGUCUGCUCACAUGACCCUAUCGGGUCUAAUUUUCCGGCAUCAAGAUUAUAUGGAGGAUAUGCAUUCUCUCUGCAGGGACUAGCCGAUGCGCUGUAGAACAGUGAGACAUUGCUCAUUCUCAGUGCAUCAGGACUGGUGGCUGCACUCACAUAGGAAAAACUUGAAUCAUAUGGAGAAAAUGAUGCCAUUGAUUUGAGUGUUCUCAGGAAUUUCUUUUGCUCCUGAAAAUCCAGAAAAUGUUGCGGUGAUAUAUAAGGAUCAUUUCGUGCUUUACUGACAAAACAAUGAUCAAAGCUUAGGCCUAAUUGACGGCUAAAAAAAUCGGACAUUUCGGGUCAAUUCACGGGACUCGGAAGCAUAAGUUUAUUAUUAUUCACUUUCUUCAGUGACUGAAUAUUUGUCUCAUUCUGAGGGUUGGUCAGUUUUGGUUAUUGUAUAUGGAACACGAUUCCUUUGA